AUUGAACGCUGGCGGCAGGCCUAACACAUGCAAGUCGAACGAGUGGCGGACGGGUGAGUAAUGUCUGGGAAACUGCCCGAUGGAGGGGGAUAACUACUGGAAACGGUAGCUAAUACCGCAUACCAUCGGAUGUGCCUAGAUGGGAUUAGCUAGUAGGUGGGGUAACGGCUCACCUGGGCGACGAUCCCUAGCUGGUCUGAGAGGAUGACCAUCCACACUGGAACUGAGACACUGUCCAGACUCCUACGGGAGGCAGCAGAGGGGAAUAUUGCACAAUGGGCGCAAGCCUGAUGCAGCCAUGCCUCGUGUGGGAAGAAGGCCUUCGGGUUGUAAAGCACUUUCAGCGAGGAGGCGUUACUCGCAGAAGAAGCACCGGCUAACUCCGUGCCAGCAGCCGCGGUAAUUC
rnacentral:rRNA from 1 species